GAGGGAAAAAGCAGAGAACUCGGAGAAAAAUCCAUGCAAACUCCAAAUACACAGUAGGUGUCAGGAUCCAGAUCAAACCCAUGACCUCCUGUAUACCAGGCGAGGUAGUUAACAUCUCACCAACGCAAAUGCUAAACUCUCAUUGGAUAGGAAAUGUCAGAGGGGGGAGGAGCUGACUUAGAGCAUGCCCAAUGGAAUUUGAAGGUGGAGAACGCUCAAAUCGGAUUGGUUGUCAGGGAAGACUGAAUGGAUUUUUUUGGGCGUACGGUUGGUGACCGUCUUAGAGGAGAUUAAUGGGAUCAAAUGAUUGGCCUACGCCAGAGAUGGACUCCUUCAUGGUGUCGUCUCACCAGUGUUAGGCCAGAGAAUGCAAAAAGGCGAAAUGGCACGAAGGAAUGCCAAUAUCAAAGUAUCAAUAAGCUCGGGUUCAACAGUUAUAGAUAGGUACAACAAAUGUUUAUUGUACAAAAGCAGAUUUCAUCCGUCGCAUCGAAGUGAAUCAACAUCGUUGGGAAAGAAUGGUUAACAUUUUAAACUAUGUUUUCCUUUUAAUGCUGACCCUUCUAACCCCACCCCCCAUGCCUAGUCUCAGCAGCAGCAACAUCAGCAGCAGGACGACCAUCAUCAGUACGAAUACAUCGACGGGAAAUUCCCAUCCCACAAUCUGGAGUCACAACAGCCACCCCCUGGCAGUGCCGAAUUCUACAAUGCGCAUGCAAAAACCACUUCCAACUGGAACAACCACAGAGAACAUCUGUAUGAGAACAACCUGAAUUCUACUGAAUCGAACCCACAAAACCAAGAGGGCGUUCACUACCAGCCUCUGAAGCCGUCCACAGAGAAAACUUACGAUAAAUUACACCAUCCCACAUACGAGAAUGUAUGAGACUGAGCACUUUCAGCACAUUGCACUAAAACAACACGGUUAAAACCAAUGUACACGAGUUAAUUAGGAGUUUAAUUUAUUCGAGAAUUGUGACGUGCCCACGUAAUAAGCACUUUGGAGGUGGAGUUGGUGCAUACAAUAGGAUCAUGUUCGGUGAUGGUUUUAUCUUUAAGUCGUCCAAAGUGAGGUACAGGGGAAGGACAAUAAAAUAAAAACACGAAAAGCAGUUCUAUAGAAAUGCGUUUUAAAUCUAGGCUUAUCCGUGUGGACUUUGGGCAUGGAUCUCCUUGUGUACGCGGUGGGUUUAUUCUGGCUCUCCAAUGUAUUGCCCAUAUCAUGAAGAUAAAAUGUACUCAAAUUUGCUAAACAUCUGAAGCAGAACUAUGCGAGCAUCAUUUGUAAGCAGUUUGAGAUGCAGGUAGACCAGCACAGCGCGUGUUACAACUUUAAUGACUCUCGGACAACACGAACUGUAGAGGGUUGCUUUAGUUCGCUUCACGUGGAUUACUUGGUCAGGGAUGACACGCGAGUGGCGACGAGGCGAAGACAGCGUAGACGCGACGAAAGCGACGAAAGUGAUGACGCAAAGACAGCGACGAUGUGGAGACAGCGACGGCGUGAAGACAGUCGACCCCGAUCCCACGGCAGCCCCGAACCUCGCCUAUCUCCCCUUUUUAUCCAAGGCGUGGCCCUCACUCCGCCCUCGGCCACAACCCCAUUUUCGACCUCUCUAGAUCUUCCCAGAUGGUUCCCUUAUUCUCAUAACUCCCCUAUGUAAAUAUUCACCCUGUAAUUACUCCCCGUAACACACAUACACACACAGACAUGUAAUUAUCGGUGAUCAGCUGUAUUUGAGUCUGUAUUGAAAACUCACUUCUUCAAACUGGCCUCCACCCCCUAAUUCUGUUUUUAUUUCCUCCUUUCCAUACAUGGCCAAUUUGGGAUAUGUAUACAGAUUAAAUGUGUCUUGUAAAUGUAAAUAUUUAUCAUUAUUAUUAACUGAACAAUACAUGACAUAGGUCCUGGGCUUGGCCAGUUCCGAGUCGAGUGGUGAGUGAUGGAGGACGGUGCAGGGUUGGAUUGUAGAUCCCCGAUAUUCGGCUUUUUAAAUAAAAAAUAAAACAUUUGUAUCGGCAUCUAUGCCACUGAUGUGUUCCGGAUUUUUUUUACGUAUGUAAUGACCGAGAUAACAGACCGCUUACCUGACACAAGCGUACGGUCAGACCAACAAUCAGAAAGUAGUCCAAGGCCUCCCAUUGGUGCAAAGAGGCCUUCACAGUGGUUGGUCGGGAGCAAAAAUUGAAAGGGAUUGGAGGAAAGAUUUUAAAGGUAAAAAAGCGGGAAGCAAGGGUAGACUGCAGAAGAACAGUUGAGAACCUUUGGUGGGGAAGGGUCAGGAUUGGCCGAAGGGAGUGGGGUGGUUGAAGCUUACAGAGAGGGGGGCUUGGGAGGUAUAAAAGGAGACAGCACAAGGAGAGGGAACGUUGGAAAGAACACGGAGCUCAUCUCAUGAACCAAGCCUGGCCAUCGUUCGUGCUGUCUGAAUAAAAGGCUCUUAAGAAGGCACCACGUGUAUUGGUGUCACUACACAGGUCCAAUGAACCAACAAAACAAUUGAUUCGUGUUUCCUUAAAAUGUUAUGCUUGCCAGUUGGUAUAGCUUUUUCACCAUCCACUCCCUCGUGUGCUACAGUGCCGGCUUUCAUAGGUGCUAGCGAAGAGCACUUGCACCAACAGUCUGUUAGGCUAUACGGGGGACCUUUGUAUUGCUAUUUGCUAAAGGGUCUGGUAGAGGGAGCUCUGAUACUAUUAGCGAGAGGUUGAGAGCAGCUGAGGUGUGUGCACUUCAGUCGCCAGCACGUUUGGGGUCGUACAACGCUAGCCGUGUCCCAUCAAUACCUCACCAACUCUUAUCCACAGCAUCAGUCUCUGGACGUAGCCUAUUCAAUGUUUUCUACAACAAAAGUAUUAAUGUGCAUUUCGCAAUACAUCAAGCGUUUAGCUUGAAAAUGUAGAGAAGCCGUGCUUUAUCUACGGGAC